UCUCUUCCUCUCCCUUCUUAUCAACCACGCACGGCGCUGCUCCCUCCUUUGAACACCGCCGCCGUCGUUCAGCCACCAUAUCUCGGUGGCCUCUUCUAAUCACAACCGUCAUCCAUUUCUUUCUCUCACACCUCUCACACAUGGCCAAAGUUUUACAACCCCUCUACAAUUCUUAAUCGAGAGUUUCAAAACUCUCUAUGUCAUACAUCGACUCCAACCAGAAUCUGACCAAAAUAGUAAUCGGGCUCACCGCUGAAACCCCUCUACUCUCCAGGCUAACCUAAACUCAAAAAAAUAUCCAUAUCCUCCUUCAUCUCCCUCUCGAUCGCUCACCUCUUCAACCCCGACACCCGACGCUCGGCCAAGGAGCUAUGCGGAUAAGAGGAAGAAGUGAAGCUGAUCGAUUUCUGGGAGUAAUUUAUAAUGGAUAAGGAUACAGGCAAUGGUGGGCACUGACGAAAGAACAGAGGGAUCGGGUUAUGAAGAUUAAAUCCAUUUGAAGAGUUGCUAUGCUAGCUUUGGGUUUUUGGUGCUUUUGAGGAAUGCUUGGGUAAUUUCUAUUGUUCCCAUGUAAACACGAUUGAGGGGGAGAAGGUUAUGGGUUUUUAGAUUAAACUAUUAAUUGCUAAAGAAAGGGUGAGUCAAAGUUUAAAAAAAAAAUUGCCACUGCUUCCUUGACUUUUGACUAGAACCCAAAAAACCGAACCUAAAUCCUUUUACUUGUUUAAUUUAUUUUCUCGUUGGUUGUUUAAUGCGAAUUUAUUUGAUUUAAUAACGCUAACCUCAGUCCCUAAAUUCUGGCCAUACAACCCCGAACGACUAGGAUGGAACCACCGAGAUUCUACCAUUGUUCACAAUUACGUUUUCCAGAGCUUCACGUGGAUUGGAGGCUUGAAUGAUAAUACUGCUGUUUUGGACUGAUU